AUGGCGUCCUCCAGCAAGGCCUGCGCCACCGCCACCCUCCUUCUGCUGCUGGCCCUCGCCGUCGCCACGGCUGCCGGCGCGUCGAAGCGGAGCAUCGCGUCGGAGGCGAAUCCGAGGCCGGUGGGGAAGGUCAUCGUGACGGAGCCCCUGGUCCCGACGUCAGCGCCGGCCGGCGCGGCGAAGCGCAGCAUCGCGUCGGAGGCCAACCCGAGGCCGGUGGGGAAGGUCAUCGUGACGGAGCCCCCGGUCCCGACGUCGGCGCCGGCCGGUGCGGCGAAGCGGAGCAUCGCGUCGGAGGCCAACCCGAGGCCGGUGGCGAAGGUCAUUGUGACGGAGCCCCCGGUCCCGACGUCGGCGGAGGUGGACGUUUCGGCGACGUGCGGUCGCUGCUGGAGCUGA
rnacentral:rRNA from 1 species